rnacentral:tRNA from 1 species
ACUUAGGUAGCUUAAAAUAGAGCAUUACACUGAAGCUGUAGAGGUGGUAACUUUUACCCUUAGGUA